UACGUAGGGGGGCAAGCGUUGUCCGGAAUUAUUGGGCGUAAAGAGCGUGUAGGCGGUCCGGUAAGUCAGCUGUGAAAGUCAAGGGCUCAACCCUUGAAUGCCGGUUGAUACUGUCGGGCUAGAGUCCGGAAGAGGCGAGUGGAAUUCCCAGUGUAGCGGGUGAAAAUGCGUAGAUAUUGGGAGGAACACCAGUGGCGAAGGCGGCUCACUGGACCGGAACUGACGCUGAGGCGCGAAAGCGUGGGGAGCAAACAGG
rnacentral:rRNA from 1 species